UACAGAGGGUGCAAGCGUUAAUCGGAAUUAUUGGGCGUAAAGGGCUUGUAGGUGGUUAUUUAAGUUGAUUGUGAAAUCCCUGGGCUUAACCUAGGAAUUGCAGUCAAUACUGAAUGUCUAGAGUAUGGUAGAGGAAAGUGGAAUUCUCGGUGUAGCGGUGAAAUGCGUAGAUAUCGGGAAGAACAUCAGUGGCGAAGGCGGCUUUCUGGACCAAUACUGACGCUGAGGCGCGAAAGCAUGGGGAGCAAACAGGAUUAGAAACCCCUGUAGU
rnacentral:rRNA from 1 species